CAUUUGGAAGGAUUCCUUCCAGUUUCCUUUAAAUUCUAUAUAUCUCUCAUACCAUUUCUCAUUUUCAGUUCUGUGAUCUCACCCUUCAGAUUGAAAGCUCCUUAAAAAUGAGAUCCACGACUGUUCCCGGCCACAUGAAGGCUAGAAUGUGCAUCCUCCUCUUUGAGGUGUGGGGAAGUCAUGUCUCCUCCUGCAGUUUACGGACAAGCGGUUCCAGCCUGUCCACAACCUCACCAUAGGUGUGGAGUUUGGGGCCCGUAUGGUCAACAUUGAUGGGAAACAAAUCAAACUGCAAAUCUGGGAUACAGUUGGGCAAGAAACUUUCCGUUCUAUCACCCAUUCCUACUACAGGGGAGCAGCUGGAAUACUGCUGGUGUACGACAUCACAAGGCAUGAAAACUUCAACCACCUGACCUCAUGGUUAGAGGAUGCCCGGCAGCACUCUAGUUCCAACAUGGUUAUCAUGCUGAUUGGGAAUAAGAGUGACUUAGAGUCCCACAGGGAUGUGAAGAAAGAAGAAGGAGAGGCUUUUGCUCGGGAGCGUGGACUUAGGUCCUUUACGGAGCAUGGACUUAUAUUCAUGGAAACUUCAGCCAAAACAGCCUGCAAUGUUGAAGAGGCCUUCAUUAACACAGCCAAAGAAAUAUAUAGGAAGAUCCAGCAGGGUUUAUUUGAUGUCCACAAUGAGGCAAAUGGCAUCAAGAUCGGUCCUCAACAAUGUAUUUCAACAUCAGUGGCACCCAUUGCCUCCCAGCAGAACUCUGGUGACAUAGAGUCCAACUCUGGCUGCUGCUGAAUGUCUGGCCUGGACGCUUUUUUUUCCUUCCUGGAACAGCUUCAGAUCAAUAGGCUUAAAGAGGUCUUAUUAACUUUGGCUGAGUAAAGCCUCUUUUCAAGGUGUGAUGUUUUGCCUUUCCACUUAAAGACCGGGGAAAAUUUGGGCCCUUACUGACCUGUCCCUUCUUCGGGGACGUGAGCAUUCCUUAUAGAUUAGGGCUCUUCUUAUACUCCUACUUUAAUUACUAAAAUGUUAGUAUCAAAGUUGAUUGUCAUGGCAAUGAAAAAAUAAAUUAUUUUAGAAGUAUUAAAAAAAAUGGGAUCCACAUCAGUCAUCUUUAUUCUCCUAAAGUUCCUUGCACAUAGUACUUUGUUGAAUAAAUGUUACCUGUUA